rnacentral:lncRNA from 1 species
GUUGUCCUACGACAUUGAACAAUGUUGCUCGGUUCCCGGAUCCCUUGAAAGGAGUUUUACCAAACAAGAGUUCAUAGAGGAAGAUUCCAAAAGUCCACCAAUCAACAGCACUUCCAUGGCCUUCACCUUUGAUGAUCUCUGGAGCCAAGUACUCGUGUGUCCCAACAAAUGACAUUGAACGUGCAUCAGUUGGCUCUGCUAUUAGCUCAGGUAAAGGACUCACUUGGUUACCGACUUCGUUUUUCAGCUUGCGGUCUUUCCUGGACUUGCUAGAAAAGAGACGGGGAGAAAAGCAUGUUGUUGGGACAACACAAGCUGGUUGAAU